AUUGAACGCUGGCGGCAGGCUUAACACAUGCAAGUCGAGCGGGGGAAGGUAGCUUGCUACCGUACCUAGCGGCGGACGGGUGAGUAAUGCUUAGGAAUCUGCCUAUUAGUGGGGGACAACAUCUCGAAAGGGAUGCUAAUACCGCAUACGUCCUACGGGAGAAAGCAGGGGAUCUUCGGACCUUGCGCUAAUAGAUGAGCCUAAGUCGGAUUAGCUAGUUGGUGGGGUAAAGGCCUACCAAAGCGACGAUCUGUAGCGGGUCUGAGAGGAUGAUCCGCCACACUGGGACUUGGACACGGCCCAGGCUCCUACGGGAGGCAGCAGUGGGGAAUAUUGGCCAAUGGGGGGAACCCUGAUCCAGCCAUGCCGCGGGUGUGAAGAAGGCCUUAUGGUUGUAAAGCACCUUAAGCGAGGAGGAGGCUACUUUAGUUAAUACCUAGAGCUAGUGGACGUUACUCGCAGAAUAAGCACCGGCUAACUCUGUG
rnacentral:rRNA from 1 species